AGAAGAUAGUUAAAAUAUAAUAUUAAAAUGUCAAUUUAAAGUAACCUUAGGGUCCUUCU
rnacentral:tRNA from 1 species